AGGGCGGGAGCGUCAUGUGACCACCCGCGGGCGAGGGAUGAUGACGCAAGAGCCCGCGCGCGUUGUAGUCGCGCAGACUCAGGAGCUGAGGAGAGCUGUCUGGAUCCUGGCCGGCGGAGUCGGGGUGCGCCGGGCAGAGUUAGGUAAUAAUUUCAAGAUGCCAGGACGUUCCAGUUCAAAUUCAGGUUCAACUGGUUUCAUAUCCUUCAGUGGUGUAGAGUCUGCUCUUUCCUCCUUAAAAAACUUCCAGUCAUGUAUCGACUCUGGAAUGGACACGGUUUCCAGUGUGGCUUUUGAUCUUGUGGAGACUCAGACUGAAGUGAGUAGUGAAUAUAGUAUGGACAAGGCAAUGGUUGAAUUUGUCAUAAUGAACCGGGAACUAAACCAUUAUGUUACGGCUGUUCAAUCUGCAAUAAAUCAUGUAAAAGAAGAACGUCCAGAAAAGAUACCCGAUUUAAAAUUAUUAGUGGAGCAGAAAUUUUUGGCUUUACAGAGUAAGAAUUCUGAUGCAGACUUUCAAAAGAAUGAAAAAUUUGUACAGUUUAAACAACAGCUGAAAGAACUACAGAAGCAGUGAACUGCCAGACUGUUUUCCAAAGCGACUGUGCCAUUUUACAUUCCCACCAGCAGUAUAUGAGGUCCCAAUUGCUCCACGUCCUUGUCAGCGCUUGUUACUAUCUGUCUUUUUACUGUAGUCCUCAUAGUAGGUGUGAAGUGGUGUAUCAUUGUUUGGAUUUGCACUUCUGUCAUGGAUUUAUAUUGUAAUAAUGUAUCUUACUCACCUAGGGCCAAAGUUGCAAUCUUAUCCUUUCAUAUCAAAACUAUCUUUCAUUACUGAUUGACUUUCUAAAAUAAAACCAUAGUUCUGCAAAGACAGAUGUCAUUAAUGCUGUUAGAAUUAUACUGGAAAAAACAUAUAAAGUAAAAUAAUUUGGAAUUAAGAUUACAUACUCACCUGGGAAGCUUAUUUUGCAUUACGAGUUAAUUCAUGGUGUCCCGAGGUCUUUAUCUGAGCUACUCAGUUACUCUUACAUGACACAUACUGAAUAAUGCAAAUAGCACUUUAGUUAGACCUACAGUGUGAUGUCACCAAGUAAACACUUGGAAAUGGAGAUGCAUGUCUCUUCUAGUUUUAUCAGUGGAAAUUAGAAGUGGUUCACAGCACAGUGAAUGUUUUCUUCCCUGAUCUGUCAGUCUGUGUCUCAUUGUGGGCCAAUAAUCUGUCAUCUAAAACUACUUAAAGUAGGUUAGGCUUUCUUGAAUGUCACGUUGCUUUGAUGACAUUAAGUUUUGGCUGCAGAAAAAGGGAAAGAACCCUUCUUUGACUUUUGGAUGCCUCCACGUCCCUUGUUUCCAAUAAAUGCACUGCCAUUUUUAGCUUCUUGCUUACAUUUCUAGGCUGUUUGCUGUAACAGUUAUACGUUCCAUCCUUUUUAUCUUUGCGGUCUCCUAAGCUGAUUACUCUGUGUUUCUGUCAAAGAAAAUGAUAUGGGGCGCAAAAGGUGUUGGAGUUUCACCAUCUUGAUUUUACCAGCUAAAGGAGAGUCCACCAAAGCCAUUUAAUGAGAAAAGAAAAACUUGAACAGAAUUCAAAGAGUGCUUUCUUCAGAGAGGUCUCAGGAUCCCUCGGCAAAGUCCCCCACAAAAGAGACCCUACAGUAGACUGAUCCCUCUCAUAGACGAUAGGCAGAGCCUCAUCCAGACCUGGUCCUCCCUCAGGGGCACAGUGUGGAGAAAGAGGCCUGAGAGAUACAACGGAGAAAGAGAGACAGCAAGAGUGGAUAUUUCAUGCCGUCAUAAACGUACCAUUGUAUUCUCCGCCUUGUUCCUUACCUUCUAAUGUAGGUUUGUGUGAUUGGUGUGCUAGUUUGCAGCACAGCUUGAAUCUUGUCUUCCUUGAAGUAAAGGGAAGCAACAACUUUAUAUAUUUACAGAGCUGGAUUUGUUUGUUAAGCUUUAAUAAAUUUUGUCUUGAGCAUUUUGUUAACUAAAAUAUUAUUUUGCAUGAAAUUUAUGCAGCUUGUUACUCAUUCAUAAUUGUUGCCUCUACUGAAAGUCCUAAACUAUUGAAUAUUCCUGAUCCAUAUAACUGCAGAACUGUCAGACAUUGUAUUUUUGAUAUAUUUAGUGGGAGUUUUUAUUUAGAUUCUAAUUUUUAUAAAUAACCCUUGAGAAAUAAUUCUUUAAAAUUCAUAUUUAUUGAACAUUUACUGUAUGCUUGGCAAUGUACUAGUAAUAAUCUUGCAUAAGUUGUGUCAUUUAAUUCUUUCUGUGGCCCUCUGAAAUAGGCACUGUUAUUAUUUCCGUUUUACAAACUGAUACUCGAUGAAAUCUAGUGCUUCCCAUAUCCAGAGAUGGUUCCCUGUGCGGCCCAGCACAGCCUCCCUGCAGACAUGGCAUGUUCAGUGAACAGUGGGGUUCUUCUCUGUCCUUCAUCACCUGCUAGAAAGCAGCAGGAGCGUGUGAGAAACAGAGGAUGUGAAAGGAGGUAUGGAGGAGAGAAGGCGGCCUGAGAAGCUGAGGAUGCAAACUAAUGGAUUUUGUUGUAGGAUGGUGGUUGGUUUCUUCCAUCCAUUGUCCCCUAGAUUAUGGACCCAGCAUACUCUGCUGCACCAGUCUUCUCAUGGAUUGGUUUUUUGGUUUUGUUUUAUCAUGGUAAUUUUUGUAGAAGCUUUUAAGAUUUCCUUCCCCUCCUUCAUACUCGUACACUCAGACAUGAGCCAGUAGCUGUAGAGGAGAGGCAAACUCAAUGCCAGUUAUUCCUGCAAAAUGGACUUUCAUGGAACAAAAACUGGAUCAGAGCUCUGCUUGUGUUUUUCUAUUAAGAAAUUCUAAUCAAAAGGUCUGUGAUUUAUCCUGAUUUUCUUAUUUGCAUAAAAAAUAUGCAGAGUAUAUUUAUAAAUUCAGGAAGUAUAACCCUUCUGUCACAAUCACUCAGACACAUCUAUUAACAGAUUGUUUCUCUACUUGCAUGCUUUUUUGGUUAAAUGUCUGCGUGUAAUGUUCAAUAACUAAUGUGUCCUGUGAAAUGCCUGGCCAACCAAUAGUACUUUUUCUUUUCCAGCACUGGGCGUUGAACUCAGAGAUACUGGAUCAGUCAGCAAUAUCUCCACUCUUUUUUAUUUUUGUUCUGAAGCAAGGUCGCACUUAGUUGCCCAGGUGCAACUUAAUCUUACAGUCCCCCUACCUCAGCAUCCCAAACUGAGAUUACAGCAUGCAGCACUGCUCAGACACUAUUGAGCUCAUAAAACAGAAUCCCUGUUUCAUGAGACCUUUUCUUCCCUGAAAAGGUCAUUCUUUAAUCUGGUCUGUGAAAGUCUCUGUGAAGAGUCAUCUUUGAUAGAGACACCCUGGGCAACUCCUUCCAUUUUCAGGUAGUGCUAAAUGGUUUCCUUUUUUUGGUCAUAUUUUUUGUUCCUUGUGACCUACUUCCCUAACUAAUUUUUCCUUCUGGAAUGAAGCACAGUAAGAACUAGAGUAGAAAUCCUAACACCUCUUUCUCUCUCUCUCUCUCUUUUUUUUUUUUUGGUGUAUUAAGAAAAGAUCUUGCCAUGUAGUCUGGGCUGGCCUUGAACUCACUUGUAGCAGUCCUCCUGCCUCAGCUUCCCAAGUGCUGUUCAGCUGUGUACCAGCAGAUCUGCUAACUUUUAUGGAUUACUCUAGUAUGCAAAGCAGUAGUAUGAAUAUGAAUAUGUAUGCUUGGUAAUGUUAACCCAUGGUGUGAAAGAAUAACCAUGCACUCUGAAGUCAGCUAAUUACAAAACACCAUUGCCUGGAUGCUGUGUACUGUUGCAAGCACUUUAUAUAAGUUACUCAUUGAUCUUGACCACAGGCCUCUGCAAUGUGUGCUGCUAAUAUCCCCAGUUCCCAGAUGAGGAAACAAUUAGGGAACUUCCUCAAAGCUGGGGUCCUGAGAGCAUGAGAGCCAGCAUUUAAAACUAUGUGGUUCAGCCAGUCCCUCAGGUUUGGGGACCCACUGCUAAACCUUCCAGUCCUGGUGCUGUACCCAGUUAGCAGGCCAGUGUCACGGAUCUACUCAUGAUCUUCACUGUAGUUUUCUCAUUGCUAAAAAGUGAGCAGGUUUUUAUCAAAAUGAAGUGGAAUACUAUUAAACAUGAGCAGUGAUUCUUAAUGGUGAUUGCUCUUCCAGUUCAUUUGUGGGUUUUUGUUUUUAAGUUUAGGCCCCAUCGGAACUUGUGAUUCAUUUAAACGCUCUGUGGUAUGUGGUUUGUUGUCACCAAUUUGAGCCUUGUGUCAACAUUGCUUCAGAAUAAGUAGGGUGGUUUUUGAAAUUACUUUUCUUGAUAACUACAAAACUCAAUACAGUGUUGGCUAAACAAGAUUGCAUUUGGGGUGAUUUUAAAGACUGAUUACAUCCUGUGGCAGUUGUUCCUCUCACAAUGAGAACACAUGUUCCUGCCCCUUUAUUGUUGAAAGCUCUAUCUGCUUGUGAACUCAAGACAGCAUAUCACAUGACUAGCUGAUACUAGUAAGAAGUAACGUGUUAGUUCCCCCUUUACUUGAUAGCUCCUUCGCUUUGAGCCCAUGCACCACUGUAAAAGUAAACCUUUAAAAUAUUUAUAGCAUCACCUACAAACAUUUUGCAUUUUUAGAUCUGUAUGCAAUGGAGUUCAAAGAGCUUAUAAAUAUUUUAGUUGAUAUAGGCUUGUCAUCACCAAGUCUGUUUGUCAACUUUCAAAAGCCAGAGAACCGCUAAAGAAAAUUAAUCACCUCUUUAAUGUACUUUUUAAUGAGAAUUUGGGGCAUUUAACAUCACUGAGACUAGUUGAAAAAUUUUUAACUUAAGGGAAGAGAAUGUCACGUCCUUUGAAAAUUGCUUCCCUGACCGACCACAUGGUUUUGGGUCACUUCUAGGGCAGCAUAUUUAGCUCUCAGUUGGGAGCAGUGUUUAUUGAGAACACUGGGUUGGCACAUAUGCAGAGAGCUUUGUCCCGCACUCAAGUUUACCACAGGAGUGGGAAGGAGGCAGGUGCCCGUGGGGAAGAUCAGCAAGCGUGGUGGUAUAGGAAGGCACAAGAUGCUUUGAGAGCAGACAGGAAGGUCACCUGAUCUACUGUGGAGAGGAGAAGGAGCUGGAGAAUGGGCUUCCGUGGGGAGGGAGUCUGAGAUGAACCUCGGAGAUGGAUGGAUGCUGAUGAGCUGCAGAAUGGAUGAAAGAACCUUCCAGCUGCUUCAUCUUUCCGCUUAACCAGCAGCAUCUCAGCUCCAAAUAAUGUCCUACCUGACCCACUGACUUCUAUUCCUAACGUGACUUGACUGCUUUAAAAAAAAUCUCUGUAUCACUGUGUUUCCCUGGUUUUGUGAAGUAUGACUUAAAGAAAUAACAUAUUUGGAUCAUGCCUUUUGUCCCUGGAAUGAACUAGUUGGAGUGACACAUUUUCCCUGAUUUCCUCCAUCACACCUUGAGCAGGGGCUAGGGAGUGGGCUAGACCCUCAGCAGAUGUGGAAAGGGGCCUGAGGAGAAUGCCUGCCCUGUGGCUGGCAUCCAGAGAGGCUGUAAAGGUAAUGGAACGCAGCCUCCUAGGGAGUCAUCAGAUCAGACACUUCCUUGGCCAGGGAUGAGAAGAGGCAGAGGACUCCUGGUAGCCACCUCAUGUCCCUCACUACCUUAGCGAUGUUCAGUAAGUCAGUCAACCUCUCAGUGCUUGGCAUUCUCCUCUAAAACUAGGAGUAAUGAUGGUGCCUCCCUCUAGAUCACUACACUGUGGGGUUGGGGUGAAGUAUGAGGACUAACUGCACUCACUUGUGGAUAGUGCUUGGAAUUGUUUGUUAACUGUUAGGGGUCAGAGUUCUACUUCGUUGGAUGCAGCCUGAACAAGAUGUUGGCUUGUGCAAUUACUGAGCCGCAGUUCUCCGCAGGACAGCAAUUUACCAUACAAGUCAGCAUGUUCAUUCAGCACAUACUCACUACAUGUCUGUCCGUUCCAGACCCUAUUUUGGAACACCAGGGGUAAAUUAGAGAAAUCAGUCCGCACAACGACGGGAGUGAUCUGGGAGUCAGUGUGGCACAUUCUGGGAGUGGCAGUGAGGUUCCCUUGGAGAAAGUGAAGGGAAGGAAAGUAGAAGAUGAGAUUGGAGAGCUAACAAAAAAGGAAGAUGGUGCAAGGUCUCCCGGACCAUUCUAAGGACUUUGGCUUUUAUUUGGAGGUCACUGUGGGAUGAAAACUCAGACAAUAACUACCACUGCUCAUUGAGCUUUUAAAGUAUAGCAGGCACUGUGCUAAGUUCUUGACCUGAGUUCUUGAUUUAAUCAGACAAAACAAGCAGAUUAGAGCACUGAUGCAGAGGAAGCUGAGGUGAGAAGGGUUAAGGGGCACGGGGACGGGAUUUGAAGUCAGACCUGUGUCAUUUCAUGGUACCAUUCUGUGCUGUAGUGCAUCUAGGGAUCUGCUUGCCACCAGACUGGGUGGAACAAGAAGAUUUAAGAUGCCGCUUGCCCCUCUUUGGACCUCUGCUUAGGAACCAGGUAGGGCACUGGCACCUGUGCCUCCCAAGCACUCCAGAGCACAGAUAUUUUUCCUGUGGGCACUUUCACACUUCCAGCACCCUGUUUCUCAAAUGAACACUUUAAAUAUGCUCAGUCUUCCUGCUUUAAAGAUCCUAGUGUUGCUGAAAGCUUUUUAAGGGCAGAGUGGAAUCAAAGACCAAAAUAUUGAAGAUUUAGUUUCCUGUUUCUGACCACACUGGACCAGAAAAUGAGGCAGCUUGCAGAGUAACUGCCUCCACCCAUAAACCUGCAGUUCAGCUUUGACUCAGAAGAGCCUGUGGGAACCGCCAGACUUCUUACUCUGCAAAAUGUUGUUCUGAACUAGGUAGACACCCCCAAAGUCAUGCUGCUGUUAAAGACCACACUGUGUACAGAACACAAGCUCAGGCUGAAGCUUUGUUGAAAAUAAGUUAAUUCAUUUUGCAGAACCAAAUAAGGACCUGCCCAAUAAUCUCCUCAGUUCAUAUUCAACUAACUUGACGUUUCUGAUGACCAUUGAAGGACCUGAAUAGUGAGAUAGAAGGGAGAGGUAUCAGUCUUAUAAAUUAGCUGUCUUAUUUGCACAGUGCAAGGCUGGAUGCCAAGAAUGCAGGGAAAAGUGACCUCUGUGCCAGUUAGCUGUGUAGGAGAAGCAGGUACACUCUAAGUACUCUUUUGGCCAAGAAUUCUCAUUCCUAUACACACAUUUAGCUGUAUAUACCCAGCAAAAAUAGAACAAAAUUUCAAUAGUGCAGGUGAUUCUAUCUAGCAUUCAUUCCCACACUGAGCAUGAGAUGAGAGAGAUCAACCUACUGUUCCCUCAGCUGGCCUCAGCUUCCUUUUCACUCUCACAGUGUAAGAUUUCAGUGCAUCAAGUGUGAUUGUAGUGUUUAAAGAUAAAUGUUUCAUGUAGCAUGGCUGUAAGAUGCAUGCCAGCCACUUCUUGUACUGGCCAGAGAAGUUGCAUUUCUCCUAAUACCAAAAGCAGUCCCGGCUGUGUUUGACUUUUCUAAGAAACUUUUAGAUCAGCUUUGACUUACAUGAGAUUUUCACCCUAUACUUUUGACUUUUAGAGCCUGUUCUCUCUAUUAAUUAUAAAUUUAGUGGAGUGACAGAUGUACAGGCUUGAACCAAGCCUGGUUGUAAAUGGCAGUCUCUGACUGACUUAGAUAAUGGUCUUCUAUCUGUGGCUAAUGAUUGCCCUCAUUUUUGAAUAAAAUAAAAGUACAUGUAUUUACUUCAUUGGCAUUGUUAUGAUGAUUAAAUGGAUAAUAAAUAAAGAUCUUGGCCAGACGGGUAGUAAUAGUUGCCUCCCCACUCCUGGUAGCUAUGAGUGUAGACUUUUCUUACAGAAACCGAUAAAGGCUUUUAAGUAGAAAAAUUAUAUACUUGGCAUGGUUUUAGGAAGAAACACUUUUGUGUCCCUGCAGUGUAUGGGAGACCAUAAAGAAACCUAUAGUGAGGUUACUUAGCAAAUGGUUAUGAUGACUUAGACAAAGGCCUGAGUGAGGAAGGCUGUGAGGCAGAGAGGAGGAACCCAGGCGUGGGUGGUUUAAAAGAACUGACCGUAUGGCUGUUAGUGAAGACUAUGCUUGGGGACUGUGAGCUAAGAGGGAAUUGGAAGAGGCUUUAGAGUGAAAGUUGGCUUUGAGUUUUCUGGCAUAGGAAGGUGAAUGAUGGAGAUACUGAAUUAACUGGGGCAGAGAAUAAUAAAAGGCACUGUUUUGCUUCAAACUGAAAUUCUAUCCCUGGCACCAAGCUAAGAAAUGUAACACAUUAUUUGAUUUAGGUGUAGUGGCAGCCCUACAAAAUAAGAAGUAGCAUUGCCAUUUUACUACUGUGGAAACCUGAACUCAGAAGAACCCAGAGUUGUAGAAUGCAUCAGUGUCUCCCUAGAUUUGAACAUAGGUUUGUCCAACAGCAAAACCUCCCUUUCACCCCCUUUAAAUAAGCCCUCUCCUGGAGGAAAAGAGAGCUGGGGUGGGAGAGGGAAAGGAAGCAGUUCUGGAAAUGUUAGCCUUGAGUUGCUUGUGUAUUCGGUGUAUCUUUUUUAUAAAAAAGAGAAUAUCAUAAAAAUAAUAAAAGAGUUUCAAAACAGCUUACUAGGAGAGUUACAGUAAUUAAUACAUUGUAUACUGUUACUUCAUCAAAAGUAGUUGGAAAAUCAUAUCUGCUGCUCAGGGGAGGCCUGCAGAGCAAUAUGAAGAUUGAGGCGUUGCUGGAUGUGGCACAGGGCAGUGGGUGAGAUCAUGCAGCAAGGGAUAUAUAGUUUGAAAAGACCCUAAGUAAAUGAAGGUUAGAAAGGGAUUGCUUGCUUGGUUUGGUUUCAGAGUUUAGAAAUACAAAUAUACCUGUGUGUAGCAUACUUUUCUUCUAACCAAAAUACAGCACUGUGCUUUGAUGUGUACAAUGUUGAUUGGUGAGGUAUUGAGUAUUCACUGUGUCUGUUGUCCUUAGAACUGAGAUCCAAUCUUCCCAGAGUCUAUGGUCUAGUGUUGAGCAUGAGUAAAGCAGUUACAAUAAUGGUGAUAAGCCAUUGUGAGUUUCAUAGGGGCUAAGUGUUAAUUCGGGCCCUCUUCUUGGGUCCUCCGUAAGACUGCCUCUAAAGUUAGACUAGUUAGCCAGGGAAGUAGGGUCACAGGUCAUAAUAUGAAAUACAGUUACAUUUUAAAAGAAGUCAUUGAGAAAUAACUGUUUCUGCCCACUCUCCUGGGACUUCACUACCAUAUGUAUGUAUGUAUUUGGUCAAUUGCUUGGUUGGUUGGUUUGGUUUUUUUGUUUGUUUGUUUUUUUUUUUUUUUUUUUUUUUUUUGUUCUGGGGAUCAAACUCAUGACCUUACACUCACCAGGCAGGCACUUAUAUCCCUGAGCUCAAUCCCCUGCAGUUGCUUGAUUUUUUUAAGACAAGGUCUCACUGUGUAUGUAGUUCAGAUGAGCCUAAAACUCACUGUGUAGCAAUGACAGAGAUUCACUGUAAUGAAAUUUCUUAGAUUCUUUUUCUUGAACACUUAAUUGCUAUAAAAUACUUGCAUAAAAUGUGAAAGUAGAAAACUUCUUUUCCAUCAAGCAUCAGGGCAAAAAAUUCCCAAACCUUCACAGUGAACUGUAAAUGCCCCAGUCUCCAAUUAAGGGCCUUUCCCAUGAUAUUUAGUCUUUGCUUUCACUUGUUUGUUUUUCUUUUUUGAGUUAAGGUUUCAUUAUGAUCUCAAACUCAGUGAUCGUCCUGCCUCAGCCUCCGAAGGUCUAAGAUUACAGAUUUGUGCAACCAUGCCUGCCUGGUCUUCAUUUUGAAAAAUUGUCAACCAUACUGGUUAAAUGUACAGGACUCAAACUAUCCAGGUUUGAAUUCUUGUUCCACCAGUCAUCAUAUGACUCUGGGCAAAGUACAAAAUACCUCCUUGUAUUUCAGAUUCCACCUCUCUAAAAUGACAGUAAUAACAGUACCUACAGUCUGUAGGAUUAUGUAAGAAUGUAAUAUGUUUUGUUUUUUUUUUUUAAUUUUUUAUUUAAGGAGAAAAGAAAAAAAAACAGUGAAGGGGUACAAGUUAUACAGAUUUACAGAAGAAAAAAAUGCGCAGUAGGAAAUCACUAGUUAAUGGAUAAGAAUGUAAUAUGUUAAUACAUGUCACACACUUAGCACUGGCCUGGCAUCUAUAUGGCAAGCGAUUUACAAAGGUUAGACAUCUGUGCUAUUACAGUUUUCUGCCAGUGAGUAAAAUAGCGCAUCAAGAUGGCAACCCCUGCUGAUGAAGGCAGAUUUCUGCGGCCCAUUGCAAAUCUCCCAUAGAUCAGCUCUUCUUGCAUCUCAUGUGGACAGAAGAUUCCAGUAUUUGUCUGCUUUUAUCUUUUAAGAUCAAAGAUACCUGGUGUCUGGUAGAAAUGAAUGGAUGACCCACUUCAAGCCAGAAACAAGGAACUGUUUGUUCUUUAAAAUAGAAGCCUCCUUCCAGCCACCUACAUAGCAGUAACUGUGUUUGGAAGUUGUUGAUGCUGGGAAGAUGCCUCAGAGCAUGGUAUAUACUGAGGAGGAUGGGCAGCAGGAUGCCAGCCAUCACCUAGUCUGUGUUUCACAGAGCGUCAGAUCAGGAGGGAAAGUGGUUCUGUCCUCUCUAGCUGAACUUCUCCAUCGGUCCCAUGAGCUGUGAGCUGGAAAACCUUGGUUAACAAGACUGUUGGUCUCCAGUGGUAUCAGAGAGUGAAGGCUGGAGUUUCAGAUAGAUGGUGAGAGCUGGCACUCCGUCAGUUGGUUGCACCUCAUUGUGAAGCUACUGAACAUCUCAGCUGCCAAGCCAAGCACCUCCCUGACCUUUCUGGAGAGCUCAGCACACCUGCUUCUCUCCAAUAGUAAGCUACAAAGUUGUAGAAGUGGUGUUGUUAGUAGAAGUAGUCCAUCACCUUCCUGAAGCUUGUGUCCGAGAGUGGGGUCUCCAGACUGAGAGGCAGUGUAAUCGCCCCCAAAGAGACAUGCUCAUGCUUGCUUCCUGUUGACUGCAUCAGGCAGGGUUAACAGCCAUUACUGUGGUCACCAGGGUCCCACACCAGUGCUCGGUGAGCUGGUUGCAGCCAUGGAAAUGUUUGGUUUGGCCCACAUGAUUGUAUAUUUUGUACAGUUCAUACAUAUAUUAAUUAAUUGCAGCCUGCAAUAACAGGAGAUUGCACAUAAACAUCAGUAUUUCCAACUUUUUUGGUCAUUUUCUGAUAGGAUAGGGGCUGACCAAGUGGAAAUAGUCCUCCUGUAUGAGGUAGUGGUCUCUCCUUGGCCUCUGUACCUUGCUAUGGCCCCCAGCUGGCUCACUUCCAUGCUCAUAUUCAUUUCCUAACCUCAGAGGCAUGAUGUUUGUGAAUCUUCCCACACAGCCCUAUGUGAUUUUCUCUGCAAUAUAAUCCCAAAUGAAAAGUAAGAAGUCUGCUUGUUACACUCCCUGACCUCAUUUUAACAGAUUGCUAAAUAGUCUCAGGCCUUUGCUCUCAAUUUAAGUUCAAAAAUGCUUAGUAAAACAUUCAUUGUGUCAUUUAUUUAAAAUCACAUGAUGGAGCUGGGCAUGGUGGUAUACAACCCUAAUCCCAGCACUCAAGAGGCUGAGGCAACAGGAUCACCACAAGUUUGAGGCCAGCGAGAACUACAUAGUGAAUUCACAGCCAGCCAGAAGAGACUGAGACCCAGUGUCCAAAAGAAAAAAAAAGUUGAAAAUUUCUCACCCUUUGGUUUUCCUAAGUCAGAAGUAUUUUUUUCCUUUGACCUUUUCAUAGCAGCAUUUUAUGCUGUUCUGGUUUCUACCAGCAAUGCAGGCUAGACAGCAGCCCAAAUCUGACCCUCUGGCCUUGUCCUUCGUCAUUGGCUUUGGGCUGCUGAUAGAUGUGAAGUUACAGGCCAUACCUGGGGAAGCGAACCUGGAGAGACAGAGGGAAAAUCAGAUAUGUGUUUCACUUCCACAAAGUUGAAAACUGAGUCAUAAGACCAUGUGAUACAAAGGUAAUAUGUACAACAGUGUUUGCAAAGUUCCUUUCUUGGGAAGCUGCCCCCCACCUUUGCACCAGCUGUGUGGCCAGCCUCCUCCCACAGGCCUUGUCCCCCCACCCCCACAGGUUGCAUUCCUCAGCUAAUAUAAUCCUCCCAGCUCCAGUUUGUCCCCCUUUGUACCAUUUCUUUAUCCUGAAGAUGGAAGAAGUGCAUUUCUCUGCUACCUGCUAGCCACUUGAGGGUCAUUUGAGCAUAGCAAGGCCUGUGGCAGAAAGCAGUCUGUGAAAGAUCUGUGUCCUGAAAGCCAAGUGCACCUGUCACUGUGUGGAUCUGUAACCGGUAUACACAAAGUCAUUAAACACUCUGGGAGCUUUGGAUCAGAAGUCAUCUCGUUGGCAUUGUUGCUUCACUGCUACAUUAAUGUUGUAUUAAUUUGUUCAAAUUCCCAUGACUCCUGUUUCACACAAGGUCAUGGACUUCUCAAUCGAAAAGUUUUGGUAGUUUUGGUAGGUCUGAAAUUUCAGAGUAUUGAGCAAGGCCUACUCUAAGCUAGAACAUGAUCUAAUAAGAUUGGACUGUCAAAACAAGAAGCACCAGUCUGUGGUUAAAAGGUUUUUAAAGAAAGAAAUGUUGAAGCUCUUCUGUGAGAAGCUCAAAAAUAUCAUAAAACAUGUAGACUGGAACCGACUGUUUUUUCCUUUCUACUGUGGUCGGUGCCACACUGCUCAUAUUGAAACGGAGACAAUAGAGUGGAAUGAAGUCUGAUUACACAGAAACAAUAGAUAGUAUCUUUCUAUUGGGAAACUCUAAUCGGUUGUGUAAUUAGUAGGGGGAAGCAUCAGAAAAAUACAUGAGACAUCUUGUAAAGACCCUGAAGGUCACUGGGGUGACUGGCUCCAAAACCUCGGAAUAGACAAUCUACAAGUGAGACUGGAAUCAGGCAGAGGGAGUCUUAAUCCCUGUCCACCACCUGUAAGGUUCUGGCCAAGUUAUUUUACCUGUUUGCUUCAGGCAUUUUUAGCACCCCAAGUGGGAACUGAAACAUUACAGGAUUGUCAUGGGUUUAAGAGGAGUGAUGAUGGAGAAUGCGGGGACCAGAGCCUGGCAUGUGAUGUGUACUGGGUCGGUGACAGCAGUUGCUAUUAGGUGCGGUGGAAAUGUGUGGCAGCUGUGUGUGCUGUGGAUGUACAAGAUGGCUUUCAAAGUCAAAACAAUGUCAUAGCUUUGUUUCUGUUUUCAUAACAUUUACAUUUCCACAUUCUUUAAGUUCCUUGCGUCAGUCUCCUACCUCAGUGAAUGUCUUCUCCAUCCUCAGUAGCUUUUUCACUCCCUUCUCCAGUAUUACGCUCAUGAAUAAAUGCUCCAACUGAAUUUUACUGAAGGUUUAAAUUGACUCUGGGAUGAGUCACUGACCUGCUUCAGCUUCCUGGAAUGCCUCUUCCAUUCAUUUAUCAGAGUGUAAUAUUCCCAUCAUGCCUACUGCAGAAUUACAAAGUAACCAUUAACAAGAUGUGUUUGUGAAAUGCCUUAUCUGUGUAGUCACUUGUGAUAAAACACUGAUAAAGAAUAUGGCUUAUUGAUGAAUAUAUAGAGACUGCAAAGGAGGAAAAAAAUACGCUAAAAGUAAUCUCACUUUUAAUAUGUUAGAUUACAAGGAUGACUGAAACCUAAUUGAUUUUAUCAGAUAAAUUAGAGGUCAAAGUUACACUGAGGUAGUCACUGCCUUCAAACCAUUGCCGUGAAACGUGGAGGAAGAUUUGUGCUGGUGGACGGCCCUGAGGAGUUUGCCCUCACCAGGAGCAAAGGAUUUGAUCUGUGCCCCACCACGUAAAGCUGAAGUAAAGAGCUUUUUUCCUACCAAAUACUAGAAACCGUGAAAGAGACCAUUCUCCUUGUCCUGGAUAGAAUUAAAUACCAAAUAAGAAUUCUGUUUAGCUUUGUGUGUUUUUGCUUAGUUUAAAGCCAGAAUCUUUAAAGAAGUCUAGAAGGUAAAAUGCACACAUUGUUUGAUGUUUCAUUUUUACCCCAUAAAAUCUUCAGAGUAAACAAUCUUACCUUGGACUUUCAAAACCAUAUACAAUAAAAACAUUUAAUUUGCUCCAACACAGUGUGUGAUGUCACUAGAAAUUCUUGAUAAAGUUGUCAGCAUGAAUAUGCCAUUCAGUUACUAAGCUGUGCUUUAUUUGUGGAAUAUUGUGCAAUCUGUCAGCAUUUCCCCUUUCUUUCCUGUAAACUGUAACUUUUCUAGUGAUUAGCAUUUAAAGUCUUUUCCUGAUUAAGGAAUGGUCAGCUGAAAUCAUCAGGGACUUCCCCUUGACUACUUUGGAAAAAUCUAAAGAAUUGGAUGUGUUGCUUGGAAAUUAAGAAAUUUGAAAUAAUUCAUGUGAACCUAAAUAGUGCAAUAGAAUCAAGAAAUGAUAACUGGGUGUGGUAGCACUCAUCUGUAAUCCAGCACUAGGAAGGCUGAGACAGGAGGGUCACCAUGAGUUCAAGGCUAUCUUGCCUAGUGAGUUCAAAGCUAGCCUGAAUUGCAUAGUGAGACGCUGUCUCAAAAAAAUUUUUUUCUUGAAAAUAAAGGCAGUCACUGAAGAAAUAAAACAACCUUAAGAUAAUAAACUCUGUAAAGCUUUAAUAUACUUUAUUAUCUCUAUUCCAUGCCUGUCAGAAAAGUUGUUAUAUUUUAAGAGCUAUGCUGAAAUAGAAACAUUAAAAUAACAUUUCAGAUGCUUGGAAAGUGGUUUUUAAUUUACUUUUUUGAUUGAGCUCAUGGAAACCUUUAUUUAUAAAUCAAAAUUUUAUCCACAAUGCACCCUUAACAAGGAUACCAGAGUUGGGGUGGUGGGACGUGUGCUGGGCUGGACAGAAGGCAAGAGAUCUCUUUCAAGCCCAAGGGGUGUAUAAGAGACCCUCUGCCCAUGGCAGGAUGCACUGGGUGAGUGGGAGGUAGCUGUCGUGGUAAAGAGUGAGGAGCCUAGAACCAAGCAUGGUGACGUGCACCUGUGAUCCUAGCAUUCGAGCUGAGACAGGAGCAUCACCGCGAGUUUCAAGGCCAGCCUGGACUACUUAGUGAAACCCCUUCUAAAAUGAGAAGAAUGGUUAAAAGAACUUCUUACAAGAAGUGACCUUUCAAAUGAACCAGCAUGGAUAAGAGCAAAAAAAAAAAAAAAAAAAAGCACUCAGCAAGUGCAAAGGAAUGAAAACUAAAAGCCCUAGGGCUGGGCUGAAUGUGAUGUUCAGGAAGCAGUAAGAAGGUAGGUGCUGCUGGGAGGUGUAGGAGGGCGCUGGUGGGGAUAAACCCUGAAAAAGGAAAAGGCUGUUCUGAUAAAAGUCAGCUAAAGGGAGAAAAAACUAGCUGUUUGGUUUAUCUGCUGUGUUUCAGAAUUGUCCCAGUUCUACAAAUCACAUUCUUAGCACUCAGCAGGCUGAGGCCAGAAGGUUGCCACAAGUUCAAGGUCAUCCUGGUUUACAUAAUGAGUCCCGGUCUCAAACAAAACAAAACAGUAAAAAUGACAUGUAUGAAAAACACUUUGAAGAAAGAAUAAGAUGCUAGCCAGUGUGGUGGAAUAUAACUGUAAUCCCAGCACUCCAGGCAAAAGAGUCACAAAUUCAAGCCCAGCCUGGGCAACUUAGUGAAUUAGUGGAACCCUUGUCUUAAAAGUAGAAAAUAAAAAGGGGUUAGGAUAUAGCUCGGUGACAAGGCCCUCAGCUCAAUCCCCAGUGUCAAAAUAGGGUAAAUUGCAUGCCAAAUCUGAGCUGGGUACAAGCUCCAGAACUGGAUUUUGUUGUGUUUUAUUUUGUUGUACUUUGAAAUGGGAUCCUUUGACUUGAGCUAAAUCCCCACCCCUUUUUAAAAAUUUUUUUAUUUCAAGGUAGAUCUUGCUAAGUUGCCCGGUUGCCCAGAUGGGGAGCCAACCUACAAUCUUCUUGCCUCAGCCCUUUCAGAGUGCUGGGUUUGCAGAUGUGUGCCACCACCCUGCCCAGAUUCUAAACUUGUAUUUGGUGAUAAAUUGACCUUACUAUUGGCAACUCUUAAAAAGAAAAGAACUUGCCAUGGAUUUAGCUCAGCAGCAUAAGCGCCUGCCUGGCAAGCACGUGGUCAUGAGUUCAAUCUCCAGUACAAGAAAAAAAAAAAGAAUUUUAUGGCUUUCCAUUUAUGUGGCUUUUGUUGUCAUCUUCUACACAGAAAAAAGAGAGGGAACAUCUUUGCUUCAAAAGUCGUUUAUCCUUUAACAUCUCCUGUUUCCGGCUCACAUACUCUGAUAGCUUGACGAAUGCCCUGUAUUCCCCUGUGGGCAUUAUGUGGUAACAAGGAAAAAUCUCAAAACUUGCCUUCUCUCAGCAAGUAAGAGAAACUUCCUCUGCAGAGCAAACUCCAAAAAAGUGCAUGAGAUAGAGCCAGAAUUCAGGCCACUGGCUGUCGAGCAAACAGUGGCAGGGCUGCAGACCUCUCCUGGGCUCUUCUGCCGGCCAUGUGAGACCCCUGAGCCACCUUGGCUGAGCAACCUUUGGCCAUAUAGCACUUUCAGGCCAGUUAUUUAGAAUAUAGCAAAGUGAAAAGAUUGGCCUGUGUUCUUCAAAGACUGGUAAUCAGAGGAUGGCACACACACAGAGCGGUGAGUUAGCUGCUGUAGAAGACGAUUCACUGAAAAUAAGCUAGCAGCCAGAACCAGAGUCGUUCCUGCCAAGUGAAGAAUGGAGCAGCAGGCCAGUUCCUCCCUGCGUUAAAAGCUUCAGCAAAUCUCAUAAAUUAGUAAUGGACUUCUUAGGUUCCCUUUCAAGGAGCCUUGCAUUGUUAGACUCUCCGUCACUCUGAAAAAUCACCAAACCCAGAUAGUGGUUGUUUGCCACUUACUCCCUCCCCCUCUGCUUCUGAAAGUGGAGCUGGGAUUCUGGAAGUAGCUUUCUUUCUCAGUGGUAAAUCUGGGUAGGGCCCUGCAGGUUUCCAUUCAUCUACUGGCUCGGUGAUGCAACAUAAAGAAGGUGCUGGGUGGCACCAGAUGGGAAGAUGGCAGAGUGUGACCUCUGUCAUAGCAUGGGGGUAAAUGGAGCACAGUGCAAGGGCAGAGAGCAGCUGAUUCCAGUGAAAGAGGUACGAAUGAGGAGAGCCUCAGCCAGGUGUGGUGGCAAACCUGUAUCUCAGUUCCUGCAAGGCUGAGCAGGAGGCUCACAAGUUCAAGUCCAGCUGGGCAACUUGGCAAGCUCCUUUCUCAAAAUACAAUUUUACAAGGGUUGGGGAUGUGAAAAAAAGUGCUUGCUGUAAGUGUGCAAGGUUGUGGGUUCGGUCCCAACAACUGCAAAAUGAGUGAAUGAAUGAAUGAAUGAAUGAACAAAUAAUGGAAGAGCUUAAGGAAGUAGCUUGACUUGGACUGAAGAGCUUAAAGGAAGAAGAUAUGACCAGGCACAGUAUCACAUGAGACAGACAGACACAGAAGAGUGAUCGUGCAUAGCAUGUUUCUUCAUCACUGACCUUUCUUAUAUGACUCGGAGCCUUUUUUUUUUCCUGUCCUUUCCUGUUUCUGCAAAAACAGAUGAAAGGAGAGUUAGGCAGAAAGAGGGGUGGAGUAGGAGGGAAUGUGGGGCUCCCGGGGACAAAGCAGAGGAGGGUUUGAGCUGUAGCAUCACAGGGAGCUGCAUGGGCCUGGGGCGGUUCCAUUUCCUCAGAGUUCAGUGUCCAGCCAUCAGGUUGGCAUGCUUCUGUUGUGUCAGCCUGAGAAACAAAGCAGGUAUGUGGCACAUGUCAGAGGGACACACCUGCUUCCACAUCACACUGUCCUCUACUUCAGCUAAAUAAUUCUGCAUGUCAGAGCCUUUUCCCUUCUAUAAUCAUGUCUCCAAAAGUUAGGUCCUUACCUCUACAGAAAUACAGUCAUUUAUAACCUGUUCCCUGUAACUGCGCUAAUGGAGGUGUUCUCACAGAAAGUGCAGUGAUGUUGGCAGUUGUACUUUCCAUGGAGAGGCCUUCCAGUCUUCACUGCCUUCAUUUGCCUCUGUCAGCAUCUUCAUUCUUGUCACAUGGCUGAUGAAGACAAAUGCCAUUCAUUCCCAGGCAAGCAAGUGAACAGCACACUUUCCUCUCAGAUUCUGUUGUGCUCAUUUGAAGUAGUUGUUACGUAGUUUUAGCUUCAACAGGGCUCUCUUAAGCUCAGUAUAACUCAAUUUAAAUAUAUAUAUGCAUGAUUCUGUAUGAUUUAUGUACAUGCUAUAUAUGUAUGAUUAUAUAUGUGAGGUGUGUGUGUGUGUGUGUAAAGCACAUGAUCCAGGCUCUGCCUUAAGUAGCUAACUGCCUUCUUGGAAAAUUAGGACUUACAGAAAAUAAUUAAGCAACAAUAUGAAGAAAGCAUAUGGCAAGGUGUAAAGUCUAUUAAGUGCUGUGUAUUUAUGACACUGUCAGCAAGUGUCAGUCAUGCAUGGGAAGGAGAGGGAGCAGAAUUGUUACAGGGAGGUUCCAGGCUCUGGAAACUUAAUUAGACCAAUCAGUCUGUCCUCUAAUAACCUUUUCUUUUUGACAUCUUUUCUUUUGACAUCAUUCUUCUACCUUCCCAGUGAACUCUAAACAUGAAGCCAGCCUGGAAAAAAUAAAUUAUUUAAAGAUAGUGGUUCCCAAAACAUUUCUUACAUAAUACCCUUACUCUCUUCACCUGUGCUUUAAAUCCUUCCCUGCCAAUUGCAUUUACAGAUAAUAAUUUAAUCUUCUAUGUUGUGUUAAUCAAAAAAUUUCCCAUCAGAGAUUUGAAUCAGUGUAAAACAAUGUGAAUUCAGUGUAGCAACACUGUUAUUUUAAGUCAAAUUUAUAGAAGAAAGAAGAAACAGGGUGUUUUAUUAAUUAUGAAUCUUAGAUACUAUUAUGUAAACAUGUACAUCCAGAAAAAAUGCAAAAUCCAGAAACUAUACAAAAAAGUAAUUAAUUAGUGACCAAAAAAAAACCCCUGAUCAAAGUCAAAAGGUAAACUCUCAAUUACAGAAGAGGAGAAGCUGUGUGUUACAGAGGGUCAGUUACAGAAAAGGAGAAAUUGUUAUGUUACAGAGGGUUAAUUUCCAGCACAAAAAUCUUACAAAUUAGGAAAAUGACAAGCCAGUUUUAUGGAAAAAUCAAAGAACAAAAAUGGCUCCUAAAAAGCAAUACUCACCCACAAAUAAGAAAAUAAGAAUAUAAGUCUUUUAACCUGGUAAAAGAAAUGAAAACAAAGGUUUUUUUACCUAUCAAUUGGGAAAGAUGUACACUUUUAAUAAUCCUUGGAUUGGUAGAGUGAAUGGAGGAGUAGCCUUCCUCAAAGACUGUUAGUAGGAGUAUAAAUUGAUAAAAGCUUUUCCAAGGGCAGUGUGGCAAAGUUAUCUGCAUUUAGGAUGCACUUACCCUUUGGUAUAGCAACAGCAUCUUAAACCGUUUACUCAGCAAGUGGGUGCACACAGAGAGCGAAGGUGCCAGUGCACUGAGGUUCAUUGUGGCAUCUAUGGUGUCAGCCAGAAACUAUACCCAAGCCUUAUGCUUCUGAUCAAGGUGCAGUGACAGGAACCACAGUACCUGUCUGCAUUCACAGCAAAACAAGGUAUAUGAAAUAGCAGCACUUGGGACAUUGGAUGUCAGCUGUGAAAAAGGCAGUGACCUUUGAAGACACGAUUCCAGGCUGCUGUUCAGAGAGGGCAAUGUGGCCAGAUCUGGAGUUCUCCCCGCAGGAGGAGAUGUGGUUGGGGGUCCAGAGAAGCCAAGACCACUAACCUCGAGUGGGAGAGAGAGGCCCAGGAGAGACAUGUGGAGUCGAGAGGCCUCCCUUGUACACUGAGCACAUGUGUGUGAGGCAAGCUAUGUAAAGAGCCAUGUAAAGGACUAGCAACUACAGUGCCCAAACUCAGACGGGAACAGAAAAACGCCUGUUCCCAACAGCCACAAAAGAAACACUUGUAGUUCAGAUGCUGAACUAGCCAGAGGUUAAACAACUCCAGUCACCCCCGAACACAACUAUAACUAUAUAACUAUAUAUAUAUAUAUAUUUUUUUUUUUUUUUUUUUUAGGACAGAGAGUGGGUUAUUUUUAUUUCUUAGUUGAGAUUCUAUUAUACUUUGUUUUCUAAAAGUAUGUUUUAAAAAAAUAAAUAAAAGUAUGUUUUAAAAUUAUGAAACAAGUCAAAGAUUGAGAUUUUUUUCAAGGGCAAAAGAAGAACUUUCUCAACAUGUUUUAAAACUACAAAAAGAACAUAGCUUUAGAGACCCAAAAAUGGGGCCACGGAUAUAGCUUAGCAGCAGAGCGCCUGCCUGCCAGGGCAAGGCCAUGUGUUUGGUUCCUGGCACCAAAAAUAAAUAAAUAAAUAAAUACCUGCUUACCCAGAAAGAUCAGUUUUUUUCAGGUAAUUUUACUGUAUCCCAGAACAAAGUUCAAUAAUGUUUAUAAGUAGACCAAAAAAGUGACAAAGGAAAAGAGGGUGUGACAAAAAUAAAGCACACCUCAGCAUGUCUAGAAUUAAUGAAAAUUUGCUAGACAACCUGAGUAUACUGAGAGAAAUAUAAAAGUAGUUCAUUGAAACUGGUCCAAAAAUGACACAGAUAUUAAUAGGCAAGGGCAUUAAAAUAGGUAGGUAGAUAGAUAGACAAAAGGGAUAGAGAUGAUCCAAAUUAAACUUCUAGAGAUGAAACCUACACUGACUGUGCUUUAAAAAUAUACAGGAUGGAUUUAAUGAUGGCUUAGACAAUAUAGAAGACACUCGAGAACUGGAUAACAUAGCAGUAAAAGCUGUCCAAAAUGGAAUACAAAACAAAGCUUUUAAAAAUAGUCUAGGCAUGGUGGCACAUGGCUGUAAUCCCAGCACUCUGAAGCAGAAGGCUAUCAACUUCGAGCCCAGUGUGGACAACUUAGUGACUUACUGAGAUCCUGUCUCAAAAUAAGGGCUGGGGAUGUGACCCAGUGCAAAGGCCCUGGGUUUAAUCCCCCUACCACACAUAUGCACGUAGCUUACACACUUCAUGCUACAAAAUUGAAAGCAUGUCUCCUCAGGAAGAAACGACUUCUGUUUAACACCAUACUAAAGAUUUAAGAAAAAGCAAUAAAGGUAUCCACUUAAAAAGAAGUAGUAAAAUGAUCAUCUGUACCAAAAAUCCAGUGAAAAAUCAACAAAAAGCUACUAGAACUUGUAAGUUUAGUAAGUCUGAAGAAUACAGGAUCAAAAAAGAUUAAUCAUAUUUCUAUAUUCUAGCAGCAUACCAUCAGAAAUUGGAAUUAUUACAUGAUAUUUGUAGUAUCAGAAAUAUGAACUGUCUGUUGAUAUAUCUGACUAAAGAUGUGACAGUACAAACAUCAUUGAAAAAAAUAAAAACCUAGACAAAUAGGAGAUGCACCAUGAUGUUGAGUCACAAGUCAUCACAGACCUGAGGCUCGGUUCUUGCCAGUGGAUAGGAGCCCAAAUAGGUCUGAGGGAGUUUUGUUGUUGUUGUUUUUGGUAGAUAUUAGCAAGCUUAUUGCGAAAUUCAUCUGGAAACACAAAGAACCUUCAACAGCAAAAGUAAAUUUGAAAAAGGAUGAAGUUAAACUUAAUUUACCUGAGAUUUAUAAAGCAGUAAGUCAAGAUAGGUAGUGAGAUGGACAGUAAAGAGAUCAGGACAGAUGGACAGUAAAGAGAUAGGCCACCAAUUAAUUUUCCCCUGAUGUACAAAGACAGUUCCAGGGCUCUCAGAAACAUACAAAGACAGAUUCCCCAAGGAAGCACGAAGAGGAUAGCCUUUUUCAAGAAGGGGGCCCUGAAUCAGAUAGGUAUGUAUAUACAAAGUCUACAAGAACAUGUAUGCAUACUUCAGCAUACUUCAUGCAUACUUAAUAAAUGUCUGAAAGCUAACAGUCACCACUUCAAACACCACUUGUCAUUGUUGAGGCCAGAGGUAACUUGGAUUAAUCUCAUGUCUUAGUACAUUUAGUAUUAAGAUAUUUGUACACGUUUUUAUUCUCCCGAUAUAUCUUGUUGGCAGACUCUGGUUGGUUGGGGUUUUUGUUUGUUUGGGACAAGAUCUCACACUACAUCAUGUAGGCUGGCCUUGAACUCAUAGUGUUCUUCCUGCCUCACCUUCCCAAGAAAUAGGAUUACAAGUGUGUACCACUAUGCUCUCUAGGCAACUAUUUUUUAAGAAGUCAGUUUGUGUGCGCCAAUAUGCAUUGAUUCUCCCAAAUAAAUAAUUAGAUAAGAAAUGCAGGAUGCAAAACAAUGUCUGUCAACAUAAUCCCAAUUAGGGAAGCUGAGCUCAAAAGAUCACAGGUUCUAUUCCUGCUUGGGCAACUUAGUGAGAUCCCAUCUCAAAAUUUAAAAAAUACAUGAAUAAAAAGGGAUAGGGAUGUUAGAACAUUCCUGGGUGUAAUAACCAAUAGCACAAAAUAAACCAAUAAAAAAUGAUAUCCUCUUUUAAGUAAAAAUAGGCCUUAGAUGUGUUUGUCUUUUUAUAUGUAUAUUAUAUGUUUGUACAUACACAGGACAUUGUGUGUGGAGGAGGGAUUGCUUGAAGCACACACAAAAGCAUGGUCCUGGCUGUUUCUGAGGAUUGAGAUUGUGACCUUGUAGAAAAGGGAAAGAAGUUUUCAUUUCUCACUUUAUUCACUUAUGUGUUUUUUGUUUUGAUGUUUCAUAGUUUGGUCAGUUUGGUUUGGUUUGGUUUGGUUCCAGACUCAGCUCAGUUCGACUCAGCUGUGCUGAAAGGCUAGGGCCUCUGAAGUGCUAGGCAAAUACAAUACCUCUGAGUUACAAUUCCAAAACCAUCUAUGUGCAUAACUGUUUACACAUUUAAAAAAAAAUUUAGGCACAACAUUCAGAGAGAGAAAAAAGAGGCAAAGAGAAAAGGCAAAAUUUGGAGCUAUCAAAGGAAAUAUAAUUAUCAAGUGACCAUAACUAUUGGAUAAUUCUCAGCUCAAAUCUGAGAUUUGAAAUAUAAUUCAGUGUGUUAUAGUGCUUUUUUAAGCACUGAGAAUUGAACCCAGGGUCUUGUACUGAGCCUCAUCCCCAACCUAUGUUUUUAAAUUUUUCUACUUUAAAAACAAAACAAAAGCUAGAAAUGAUAAUAGAAUUUCAAAAAAUAGUAGGAAAUUAACACUAGUUAAUGUAUUGCAAAUCAUUAUCUUAGAAGUCAUUAUUCAGGUUACAAGAUUUAGGCAUGAAAAACAUGAUUCAACAACACACACACACACAACACACACACACACACACACAUAUACCUAUGUACAUAUAAUCCUUUUGAGAUAGAGUGUUUCUAAGUCACUAAAUUGCCUAGACUGUGCUCAAACUCAGACCCUCCUUCCUUAGCUUCCACUCUGGCAUUACACACAUAUACCAUCACACCCUUUGGUUACACUUUUGAAUCCCUGUAGCAGGCAUCUUCCUGAGAGACUUUAAAGAUCAUUUUAGAUUAGUAAAUUGAUGUAAUGGGUUUGUAACAACGAACUAAAAUAUUUUACACUUCAUUUCUUGAUAAGAUUAUAAAGGACUUAUUUUUUUAAUUUUGAAUUUAAAAAGCUCUUUAGUAUUAUGUGAGAGCUAUUUUGUAUUGCAGGAGAAGCAGGUAUAAUACUAAGAAGAUCAGAAGAGUUUUUUCCUGCCAUAUUAGGUACAGAAAGUAAGGAAAUAAAAUGAGUGUAAGUUUAGAUAUCUUUAGGAACAUCAGAGCACUUGAAGAUUUGAUCUGAAGAACUCACUUAUCCAGUAUGAUAUAAAGUAACCCCAAAAUGCAUGUGUACGCUUAUUGUAGGACUUAAAGGCAAGACCAUAGUAGUUAACUAAUUAUCACAGGAAUUACUGUGAAUGAGUUUGUGAAGAUUCUUGACAUCUCUAAAUGAGUCUGAGUGGAUUAGCAGAGCGAUUUGGGAACUCCUUUGAGUCUUUGGAGAUUAGUAUGUAUUAUAAGCUUCUUUCAAUGACACAUUACCAUCCUAAGAACUAGUCAUAAUUAUGGGUGAGGUUUUCUAGCACAAGGAAAUGCAUUUUUUAGAACUGAUUGCUUUAGUGAGACUAACAUUGGAGGAAAUAGCACUGGCCAUUUUUUCAGGUUAGAUAGUUACUUUUAAGAGGCAGACAUAACCAAGUAUGAUGGUAUAUACCUGUAAUCCAGUGACUCAGGAGGCUGAGGCAGAGGAAUCACAAGAUUACAAGUUUGAGCCAGUAUGGGCAAUUUAGCAAAUUGGUAAGACCCUGUCUCAAAAACUAAAAUGGGCCCGGGAUGCAGCUCAGUGUGAAGGCCUUGAGUUCAGUCACCACUACCAUGCUGGCCAGCCCGUGUCAGCUUAUCUCCUUCUCCAGUAACCCACUUGGCCAACUUGUUUGAUGUGUCAGGUCAGCUCUAACAAUCUGGAACCCUUUCAUUAUGGUGUAGAGAAUGGUAAUAAGUACUACAUUGCCCUCUGGGAUCAGACUUACUAGCUUUGUGACAGUGGGCAAAUUUACCUCUCAGUGCCUCAGUUCCCUUCUGUGUCAGAUGGUAACAGCCUCACAGAGUUGCUGUAAGAUGCCUUGUGAAUUCUAAAAGUCCUUACUUAGCUCAAGCCCUGGCACAUAGUCAGCACUUGACCAAAUGAUGGAUGGUGAUAAUGGUCACAUUAAUAGGGGUAGUUGGCACUGUAUUUCACUAGUGCCACUUCUCUCUGGGUGCCUCUAAAAGAACCACCAUUACCUAGAACUGUUGACCCUUGGACCACUGAGGCUGAGAGUGAAAGCCAAAAGUUGAGCUGAAGGGGAUGGGACCUGCUUCAGUCUCCUAGAGUGCUGAUAUUACACAUAAGCAACACCAUCCCUGGCUGAAAAACAGAAUUUAAAUCCAUUUGUCUUGAUUACUUUUCUCUCAUUGCUGAGACAAAAUACUUGACCCCUAAAAUGAGGGAAGGAAAGGUUUAUUUAGCUCACAGUUUGUGGAGGUUUCAGUCCAUAAUCUGUUGGCUCUAAGGGAAGGUAGUAUGCCUGAGGGGCAACAUGGUUGCUGUAGCAGAUACCAGCAACAACCAGAGAAAACAAGCAAAAGAGAAAAGCAUUCCCCCUUCCUUCCCUUAUAUUUUAUACCUGGUACUCGUCCUUAUGCUGGUGCAGCACUCAGACUGCCAAUCCCAGUGCUAGACAAUGAACCAAUCACAAACACUUGACUCAGGUGCCUUGGGAAGCCCCCCCAUCACCACAUGAGGCUUGGGGGAGACAUUUAAACACAAGCCAUAGCACCAGCAUAUCUCAACAAAGAGAAAAUUGAUGUGGGAGACGGGGGUCUCAGACCUGGGAGGCCUUAUGUACCCUUCUUUCUAAACUUGGUGCAGCUCACGAGUCAUACUGUAUGCCUGUAGCUCCAGUUUUAAUGUAACGCUGAGCCCACUGAAAGUGAAAUCCAGUCCCAAUCCCUGUAUGCUUUAGGUUUUUGUGUUUGUGCAUACGCAUGUUGAGGUAGAAACAAUACAUACAUUAAGGAAGAAAGGCUUCUUAUAAUUUUGAACAAGUCAUUAGACUUCUGUGACUGUGUCCUCAUCUGAGAAACGCUGUCAGUGCCAGGCCCUGCCUCACAGGGUGCUGUGCACAGUAGAUAAUAAAAAUGUGGGAAAGCACUGUGUAAAUGUCAAGUGCUGUGUAAUGGGACUGGGUAGCCUCAAACGUUAGCGUGGGGAAGGUGAAAGCUACAGACUUUCUUACCCUUGAGUAUCAAACUACUUUCUAUAUUUUAAUGGUUUUUAUAUAUACUUUUCUAUUACUAUCACAGAAUUAGUAAACAAAAUUAGAAGCACUGCCUUCAGCAUAAACCAUAUUGCUGGAAGUUACCUGUUUCAGAGCCUAGGCCUCCCUGGCAGAGCAUUUACAGCCAGCUUCCUGCAUUUCAAAUGCAGUCAACAGUGAACUGCUGAGUUGUGCAGUGUGGCCUGCACAAAUUUAUUCAGGAAUGACAUUGGGAGUGUAGCGAGCCCUGGAGGGGGCCUGGUGUCUAGUGUGCUUCUUACAAGCUCCAGGCUACCACAGCCUGUGCAAGGGCAAAUAGUCCCACCUUUCGUUAUUUGGUGCUUUUCUCUAGGAGGACCAAGGCUUUUUUGUGGACUUAAUCUAUUUAAUUCUCACAGCAUCCCCGAAGUGUAAGUGUCUGAUAUCAUCCUCACUCUGCUGACAAGGAAGCAUAGGCAGGGCUGAAAACUGGCAUUUAAAGGGCACAUAUGGGAGCAAAUCAACACCAGGAGUGGGAGUGGUCUACAUUUUAUUUAUGUUCCUCUUCCAUCUGGCCAAAUUCUCCUAAGUGAAACGAACUCAAGAAUUCUAUAAAACUCAUACUUUGUUUGGACUCCGGUGUAUAUUUGCUUAAACACUGGCAGAUUUUCUAAGCUUCAUUUUUGUCAUCAGGUGUCUUAGGGCUUUUGACUUUAAGAACACCAUCAAGGCUGUGUUAAUAACAAUGCAUAGUGUACUGAACCAAAUAUAUGUGAGUUUGACUGCUGAGCUUUGGUUCCCAAGAAAACGCAAAUAACCAUACUUGCUUGAGGUAUGUAUCCAUGAAAUGGGUUCGUAUAUAUAAUCUGCUUGGCAGAGUGUCUGGCUCACAGUAAGCCUUUAAUAAAUAAUAGUGCUCACAUUACAAAACAGGUUCUUGGCUUAGCUUCUCCUUUGAUAAGACUUGCACUGACUGUUUAAGCUGUCAGUAAGCCACUUUAUAUGUACUCUUUAAAAGAAUACCCCAUGUGUUACUGUGGCAGGCCUGUUUCCCUGUCUCUGUCCUUUCACCCAUUCUGUGUUGACUGGGACACACUUGCUCAAGGAGUAGUCCUACAGCUGAACUUGGGUUUCCCCCAACACAAGGGUACCUCUUCAAUGGACCCUGUGAGAAGCUAUUUAGUCUUUCUGUUUUUGUUUUGUGUGUGUGUGGUUUUGGUUGGAUUUUUUGUUUUGCAGACAGUUUCGCUAUGUAUUUCAGACUGGCCCUGAAUCCAGUGUGCAGCCCAAAUUGGCCUCAAACUUGCUGUGAUCCUCACGCCUAUGCAGGGAUUACAGACUAAAGCCAUUUAGUCUUAUAAGCCAAUCUCUGAUUUCAGAAUUCUCUGAGUUCUCAUGAAAGUGGUAAGCUACUGUGCAGUGUCCUUGGAAACUGUCCACUUAGGGUCUUGGGGUUGGGGGCAGUGUGAUCUACUCAUCACAGGGACUUGGAAGAGGCAGAGUUGUCUGAGUGGAACACCAAGUUGAUCCCACGUCAUAGACACUGGCUGCUAUCAGGAGUGCUUGCGCUUGACUGGGGCGCAUGUAAGACAUAAAGCGUCCUGAGCCCCAGUCUAUACCUGCAGAAUCAGAGUCUCCAAGGGUGAACCUGAGGGUCAGAAUUUACUUCUAAUACACUCUUCCUUGUAGUUGUGAUACCCUGCCAGGUCAGAACCAUGACUAAGGCACAAGAAAGGCAGCACAACGCCAAGUUCAUUGCUGGUACUGACUUAAGCCAGAGCCCUGAAUGGAGCUCUGCUCACCUCAGGGUCAGCACACAGCUCUCCCCUGCUGCUCGGGUCCCUGCUUGCCUGUGGAUGGGCGGAGCAUCUGAGCUGUCUGUGUGAGCUUUCCUGUCUGCACUGUACAGAUAACACUUCCUGACCUAAAAGUGGCAGGGUGAGGUUACAUUAGUUAAAGGGGUUCACUUAUCCUUUACUCAGGCUGACCUAAAACAGGUGCUCAAUUAAGCCGUAUUGCAGGGAGGUCUGAGUCAUUUGGCAGCAGCUGUCUGUGCUUCAUUGGAGGUGCUUUAAUCGCUGCCAUCGAAUUACAGGUGAUAGUCCUAUCUAGCAUGUGCUCCAGGCUAUGAUGGUCUCCAGGCAGAGAGAGAGGCUGAUGGGACUGAAGGAUUUGAUGAAGAUAUGAUAGUGACUCAGAGUCAGACCAACUUCAUAUGCCCCAUUACACAGCUGGAAAUGAAGAAGCCAGUGAAAAAUAAAGUGUGCGGCCACACCUACGAAGAGGAAGCCAUUGUUCGCAUGAUCGAAUCCAAGCACAA